rnacentral:snRNA from 1 species
AUACUUACCUGGCAGGGGAGACACCAUGAUCAUGAAGGUGGUUUUCCCAGGAUGAGGCUCAUCUGUUCCAGUCCAGGUAUUCUGACUCCUGUGAUUUCCCCAAAUGGAGGAAACUCAAUUGCAUAAUUUGUAGUAGUGUAUUUGUGCUUU